rnacentral:sRNA from 1 species
GCUUCAUUGCGCAUCAAUAUCCUUUUUCCUUCCAAUUCAUGUCCAUUUAAAGCUGAACACAACUACCCGACAGAAACUCAAACAAAAAUUACCAAAGAAUAUCUUAUGCAUUUUUUAAGGAUAACAAAAGGACGAAAAUAUCCGUACAAGAGGAUAUAAUAAUAAUAAUAUUUUUUUGUUUUAAACAUGACUACCAUUCGUGAUUAAGUGGGGGAAAUGAGGAGGACGAAGCUACAGCUACAGCAAAGGUUGAAAAGAAAAUCAAAAGAAACCCCCUAAAGAAAGAGUAAAGAAAUACAUUAAAGAUUUUUCGAAUUUAAAGCGAAAAAGGCAACAAACGCACAAAGGAACGAAGAGGAACUGAAAACAAAAACGUUGGUUGGUAAUGCCCAAGGAUUUAUGCACAAAAUAAAACCCAACCCCAAACCAUAAAUUCCAUAUUUAACGCACAUUUGCUGUAUUUCAUUUGGGUGUUAACAUAAUUCUGACUUAAGGGGAUAAACGGAAAUAGAGGUGGAUGAGCAUAAAGGAAAUCUCCAGAGGUUGAAGGAUAAAUAAAAAGCACGAACAAAAACUACUACUACUACGUGAAAAACAAAAGUCCACGACGGAGACAAGGACGAAAAGUCAUUGUCAUAAUCACACGUACAUUACCUUAAAACGGGUUGGGGAGAAAUUCCAAAACAUUUCAAUUGAUCCUACAAGGAUUCAGUUUAUGCUUACAAGAAAACCCCGGAAAUCCUGCCCGAAGCCAUCAAUUGGGACAUCAAAACUUUUUACAAGUUCAGCUGAAGAGACAAGUUAAACACAUGUAUUCCCCAAAUGAGCACACAUUGUCAAGGCUUCCUCGGGCACAGCAACAAAAGUGGAAUACUUAAAGUCACAUCUUAAAAAAACAAGAGGAAGGACAAAGACAUAUUUCUACACACAAUCGGAGGCUAAAGGCUGAAAUCCAAAGAGCCAAAAAACAAACAGAAAUAGCAUUUAAACAACUUUAACAUAAUCUAAGGAGACGAGGAAGCGAGCGACGCGAGACCACAGCACAACUUUUAUCCGCAGCACCAAACAAAAACAAAAAAA